rnacentral:rRNA from 1 species
CCUACGGGAGGCAGCAGUGAGGAAUAUUGGUCAAUGGGGGGAACCCUGAUGCAGCGACGCCGCGUGAGUGAAGAAGUAUUUCGGUAUGUAAAGCUCUAUCAGCCGGGAAGCAAAUGACGGUACCUGACUACGAAGCACCGGCUAACUACGUGCCAGCAGCCGCGGUAAUACGUAGGGGGCAAGCGUUAUACGGAUUUACUGGGUGUAAAGGGAGCGCAGACGGCUGUGCAAGUCUGGAGGCAAAGGCGGGGGCCCAACCCCCGGACCGCUCUGGAAACUGUAAGGCUGGAGUGCAGGAGAGGUAAGCGGAAUUCCUGGUGUAGCGGUGAAAUGCGUAGAUAUUAGGAGGAACACCAGUUGCGAAGGCGGCUUACUGGACCGUAACUGACGUUGAGGCUCGAAAGCGUGGGGAGCAAACAGGAUUAGAUACCCCAGUAGUC